GGAAGACAAUCUUGCUGUAAUAUCUGUCACCCCACUGAUAACCAGGCUUGAUUUGGCUGGCUGGCUAGGCAAGUGGAGUCCUCUUCCUCCAUCAAUGCUCCAUGUGAAUGUCUUCUGAAGCUGUAAGCUCGGUCAAAGAGUAUGACCACCCCGAUACAGGAGGACCAUGCCUGUGCUCUCCUUCUAGAACCUCCAAACAAGCUCUCAACAUCUUUUAUGUCUGGGCCUGCCAGAUAACUCAGCAGACUAUAGCACCUGCCUAGGCAGACGGAGGGAUCAGGGUUUAAUCCCCGGUGU
ensembl:misc_RNA 7SK 7SK RNA